AACGAACGCUGGCGGCGUGCCUAACACAUGCAAGUCGAGCGCGAAUGGGGGCAACCCCUAGUAGAGCGGCGCACGGGUGCGUAACACGUGGGUAAUCUGCCUAGAAGACCGGGACAACCUUCCGAAAGGAAAGCUAAUACCGGAUAAGCCUACGGGAUCCUCGGAUCCUGAAGGAAAAGGUGGCCUCUGUAUACAAUCUAUCACUUCUAGAUGACCCCGCGGCCCAUCAGCUAGUUGGCGGGGUAACGGCCCACCAAGGCAACGACGGGUAGCCGGUCUGAGAGGACGAUCAGCCACACUGGAACUGAGACACGGUCCAGACUCCUACGGGAGGCAGCAGUGGGGAAUUUUGCACAAUGGGCGAAAGCCUGAUGCAGCAACGCCGCGUGUGUGAUGAAGGUCUUCGGAUUGUAAAGCACUUUCGACCGGGACGAAAACCUGUUGGCUAACAUCCAACGGCUUGACGGUACCGGGAGAAGAAGCACCGGCUAACUCUGUGCCAGCCGCCGCUGUAAGAC
rnacentral:rRNA from 1 species